rnacentral:rRNA from 1 species
CGAAUGACUCUCGGCAACGGAUAUCUCGGCCCUCGCAUCGAUGAAGAACGUAGCGAAAUGCGAUACGUGGUGUGAAUUGCAGAAUCCCGCGAACCAUUGAGUCUUUGAACGCAAGUUGCGCCCGAGGCCUUUCGGCCGAGGGCACGCCUGCCUGGGCGUCACGU